rnacentral:rRNA from 1 species
UACGUAGGGCGCAAGCGUUAUCCGGAAUUAUUGGGCGUAAAGAGCUCGUAGGCGGUUUGUCGCGUCUGCCGUGAAAGUCCGGGGCUCAACUCCGGAUCUGCGGUGAGUACGGGGCAGACUAGAGUGAUGUAGGGGGAGACUGGAAUUCCUGGUGUAGCGGUGGAAUGCGCAGAUAUCAGGAGGAACACCGGUGGCGAAGGCGGGUCUCUGGGCUGUAACUGACGCUGAGGAGCGAAAGCGUGGGUAGCGAACAGG